UACGUAGGGUGCAAGCGUUAAUCGGAAUUACUGGGCGUAAAGCGUGCGCAGGCGGUUUUGUAAGUCUGACGUGAAAUCCCCGGGCUCAACCUGGGAAUUGCGUUGGAGACUGCAAGGCUGGAGUCUGGCAGAGGGGGGUAGAAUUCCACGUGUAGCAGUGAAAUGCGUAGAGAUGUGGAAGAACACCCGUGGCGAAGGCGGCUCUCUGGGACGGUACUGACGCUGAGACGCGAAAGCGUGGGGAGCGAACAGG
rnacentral:rRNA from 1 species